CGAGGUUUUUUCACAGCCCGCUGCCCUCGCCGUGUUUCCCACCUCCCUUCACCAGAGAGAGAGAGAGAGAGAGAGAGAGAGAGAGAGAGAGAGAAAAUCAGGAAUCCGCGGCUCUUCCAUUCGCUUUACAUUUAAAAAAAAAAAAACCUCGAAAACAUUCAUCCUCCAAUGUAAAACGCUUGUAGUAGUUUGUAAUUAAAAUCUCCACCCACCCACCCCUCCCUCGUUCCUUUCCUUGUUUACAAACUUUCCCCCCACCCCCUUCCUCUCUUUGGCUUGGAAGCGGUCCGAAAAAGGCAUGUUUUGUUAGUGGAGAACAGCGGAAGUUUAAAAAAGAAAAAGAAAAAGGGAAAAAAAAGGAAGAAGAAAAAAAAAAAAAACCCCAACAGGUUUCUGGGGUUCCAACUAAUCCUCUUUCGGCGGAGAAAUCGAAGGCGCUUGGAUGAGGCUUGAUAUGUAUGUAUAUAUGAGAAAAGGGGACCCCCUCCCCCGCCUUGCAGAAGACACACACCCCCUGCCCCGGCCGCUCUCGAAGCUUUUCGCGCAGAAGUGUGCGGAGCCGGGAUUUUUAUCCACCGCCACGCCGGACGCGCCGAGAACGUGGGGCGGACACGGUUGAGGCCGCAUCGCGAGGCACAGCAGAAGGAGAGUCCGAACGGCGGGAGGACAAGUUGGAGAAGCGGGUGACGAGCUGGAGAAGCAGGGGCCUUCUGCAAGCUCUCCUCGCCGGAUCCCACCCGGACCGCCUCCUUCAGAUCUCCGGUGAUCAGUGAUCUACCACCCUAUCCUUCCUGUGCUCCUGCAUAUCAAUUGGGCAUUUCUAACAGUAACAGAGCUGGAUGGGACGACCCUGAGUUUAAGAACAGCGUUAGCCGAACCUCUAAGCACAAUCUAUGAGGUAUCUUUCAGCUCCUUGCCUGACCUAUGGUCAUUAGCCACGGUCAUACCUAUCUUCAAAAAGGGAGACCCCAGCCUAGUAGAAAACUUCAGACCAAUCUUACUGUGUUGCGUCACCUGUAAUGUCAUUAAAUUAAUUUUAAACCAAUCCAUCACCCUCCACUUAGAGACAAACAACCUGCUUUCUAACGAACAGUUUGGUUUCAGGAAAAAAUCGUCCGGUAAUCUACAACACCUACACUGCAGAAACAUUUGGACCAGACAACUUGCCCAGGGUAAAGCAAUAGACACAAUUUAUAUAGACUUCUGCAAAGCCUUUGAUUCAGUGGUUCAUGACAAACUACUGUUAAAACUAAGCUCUUACGGCAUCUCUGGAUCCCUGUGGAUAGCCGCGUUCCUGCCAAACAGGCAACAAGUAGUCAAAAUAGGGAGUGCCCUAUCAAACUCGGCACCAGUUAACAGCGGUGUCCCUCAAGGCAGCGUUUUAGGACCCGCACUCUUUCUGCUGUACAUAAAUGACCUCUGCGAUCAUAUUACAAGCAGCUGUGUCCUCUUCCCUAAAACUAUUUAACACCACUGACAAUGCUGCUGCCCUACAAAGCGACCUCGACUAUGUGUCAGAAUGGUUGCACAAUUGGCAACUCCAAAUCUCAACUAACAAAUGCUCUGUCUUACACAUUGGCAACAAAAAUCAGACACCAAAUACAAGCUGGGUGGAUACAACCUCGUAGACGACCCUCACUCUGUUGUCAAGGACCUAGGAGUAUUCAUCUCAAACGAUCUAAGCCCCAGAGCUCACUGUAACAGCAUUGCCAAAAAGGCAAUAAGAGUUGUUAAUCUAAUUUUGCGAAGCUUCUUCUCCGGUAACAUUGUACUGCUAACUAGGGCAUACAAAACCUUUGCCAGACCAAUUCUCGAAUACAGCUCGUCUGCCUGGAAUCCACACUGUAUAUCGGACAUUAAUACAAUUGAGCGGGUCCAGAGGUAUUUCAUGAGAAGAGUUAUUCCACUCCUCUGCUCACAAUAGAAUCCCUUAUGCCACCAGGCUUGAAAUUUUGGGCUUGGACAACCUGGAACUACGCCGCCUACGGUCUGACCUAUAGUACACAAAAUUGUCUGCUACAACGUCCUACCUGUCAAUGACUACUUCAGCUUCAACCUCAAUAAUACACGGGCAAACAAUAGAUACAAACUCAAGGUAAACCGCUCCAAACUCGAUUGCCUUCAGCAACAGAGUGGUCAACGCCUGGAAUCUCUACUUGACUCCGUUGUUACAUCCUCAAACUCCCACAGCUUCAACCUCAAACUGUCUACUAUGGACUCACCCCAUUCCUAAGAGGUCCGUAAAGGGGGCGUGCAUAAGCACACCAGCGAGCCUACUGUCCAGUAGUAGGAUUCAAAUCCCGGCGCUACCAGUUCGCUAUCAGUAGUGCGUAGUGCUUCUGCGCUUGCACAGAGAGUUUUUGAUGAUGUCUGGGCAGGUGGGUGGAGCCUCCCUCCGCUGCUACCCCUGGUUCACACGAACCGAGGCGAACCGGGAGCAACCUACCACUGCUACCGUCCCUGUCCUACUGUCCCCAUUUAUUUGUACUCAUUUCCUUUGUUCGUGUCCACAUUUAUAUUUAUACUUGUUAUCUUGUACAUGUUUGACAAACUAAAUAAAUAAAUAAAAAACUAGGCACCGCCCCUCUCCCUAUCUGGAUGAUUCUGGGCAGUUUAGAGACACGCAGAUAGUCCUUAAUUUACAACGGUUCAUUUAGUGACUGCUCAAAGGUGCAAUAGCACUGAAGAAAGUGACUUUGGACUGCUUUUCACCUUAGUGAUGUGAUCAAAAUUCGGAUGCUUGGCAAUUGGCUCAUAUUGAUGACGGUUGCGAUGUCCCGGGGUCACGAGAUCCCCUUUUGCGACUUUCUGACAAGCGAAAUCAUGGUGAGUUCUAGUCCCGCCUUGGGGAUGAAAGCCAGCUAGGUGACUUGGGCCAAUCACCAGGAGACGGUGAGUUCUAGUCCCGCCUUGGGGCAUGAAAGCCAGUUGGAUGACUUUGGGCCAAUCGCCAGGAGACGGUGAGUUCUAGUCCUGCCUCGGGGGAUGAAAGCCAGCUAGUGACUUUGGGCCAAUCACCAGGAGAGGUGAAUUCUAGUCCUAUUUUAGGCAUGAAAGCCAGCUAGGUGACAUUGGGCCAAUCAUCAGGAGACUGGAAGUUCUAGUCCCGCCUUGAGGCAUGAAAGCCAACUAGGUGACUUUGGGCCAAUCACCAGGAGACGGUGAAUUCUAGUCCUAUCUUUGGGCAUGAAAGCCAGCUAGGUGACUUUGGGCCAAUCACCAGGAGACAGUGAGUUCUAGUCCUGCCUUAGGCAUCAAAGCCGGCUGGGUAACUUUGUGCCAGUCCUUCUCUCUCAACCCAACCUACCUCUUGGGGUUUUGGGGAAAAGAGGAGGAGGUGGAGGUGGAGGAGGAGGAGGAGGAGGAAGGGGCGUUAAACCUAUUCAUCCCCUUGAAUUAUAUGUAAAAUAAUAAAACGUACGGCACUAUUAAAUAAAUACAUCAAAACAAGAUUGCUGCCCCCCAUUCCAGCAGUUUGCUCCCACCUCUGGAGGUCACCACAAGAGAUGCCCAGGUACCCCCACCCCCCACCUGAAAAGGCUUCGGGAGGAAGUUGUGUGGUGGGGCCAAGGGCAGCCCCCUCCCCUCUGUCCAUCCAUCACCCUUCCCUGCUGAUCAGCCGGGAACUGGCCGACGUCAGUUCGAACUGGAAUAAACUGGGUGAGGAGAUAGCUAGCCGGUUGGGCCUCCCCUCUGUUUUGUAUUUCUCUCGGCUGCUAACCCCUUCCAGGGCAGGCAGCUGUGUGCAGCCGCAGGGCCUUUGAAGAAACGGGAGGUGGUGACCCCAAGGCCUCCAUCGUCCCUCCCCCCCCCCUCCCAGGAGGUCUUGAGUCAAUCAAGAGGAAGGGGACUUGAAAGGAGAGGUGGGGAGUGGGGUGGAGGGACAGGCGAGGAGGGGGGUUUUUUUUGCUGCUCUCCAGCCAUUUGUCAAGGCCUGAAUGAAACAGGAAAGGACAAGGGGCGAAGGCAAGAAGUAAAAAAAAAAAAAAAGAAAGAAAAAAAGGAAAGAAAGAAAAAAAAGAAUUACUUCCAGUUUGGUGGGCUGCUGAAUAGCUCCCUCCCUUUGGAAACGGGGUUGGGGGUUGGGGAGAAUUCAACACCCCAUCCCCGCACAGGUUUGAAAUGCCUCCUCCUGCCCCCCCUUUCUGGCUUCAGAUGCCCCCAUCACCCUCGCUUGAACAGCUUUUAUUAUUUUUUUAAAAAAAUAAAUAAAUAAAAAAAUAAAAUAAAGACGCAUGUGGUAAAGCGAUACCGAUAAAUGGAGGAAGUCAAAAAGUCUCCAGCAAGCAAUACUGGGGGUGGGGGAGAGAAAGAGAAUGCAAAAUGGGUAAGAUAUAAGGGACGGAUGGGGGGGUGGAGAGAGAGAGAGAGAGAGAGAGAGAGAGAGAGAGAGAGAGAGAGAAUGGGAUUGAGAAAGAGAAAGAAAAUGGGAUUGAAAGAGAAUGAGACAGACAGAGACAGAGAAAAAGACAGACAGAGAAAGAGA